AAGGGGAAAAACCUAUUAUCAUAUUUUGGUACUGGCAAAGGAGGUCCCAUGAUGAGACUAUAUCCAUUUUACAAUGAAGAUGUGCCACUAAAUGUAUGAUAGGACCAUUUAAAUACCCAGGAUAUCCUAACAGCAAUCUUACAAUAAUACAAAACUCUGCCAUAAUUGAUGUAGUACUGAAAUUGUACAGUAGUUACAAUGUUUACAAUUUUCUUGUGUGAUUGGUUUUAUGAUUCGAUACUUUUGGUUGGUUACAAUAGAGUGUUUUCAGACUUGGUUAUAAAUAGGCAUUGUAGAAAAAGUUACAAUAUACUGUUAAAUAUUUGGUCAAUACAAAUGGUAUACAUUACUGUACAUGUAAACGUAUGUUUGGCACGUGUUCUCCUUGGCAGGGCUGGCAGAUCAAAUCAAUUUAAUUUAAAUAAACAACACAUGCGGUGUGUCACUAAUCUUUUUAUGCUACUUUUAGGCCGAAUUGGAGUUGGCACAGUGCUAUUCUAAUCGGAGUAUGGCUAGCACUGUUGGAUACUCUGGGCCACGACUUCCAUUUAAUCCAUCUCGUGUCGACAGACUUAUUGUGGACCAGUUAAAAGAACAAGGAAAGGUGGUGGCCCUGCUGAGCAAGAUGGAGCGUUUACGCAGCACCCCGCUGCAUGCCAAUAUCUCCACAGCAUUAGACAGGCAUCUGGAAGCCAUCCAUAGCUUACACACCGUCCGUAAGGUUGAGAUGUCCAACAUUGCCUGCAGAAGCAGGCAGACUCCACCACCGUGCAAUGAGCAAAGAGACAUCGUUGCUAUUGCCUCCUCACUGGGCGAACUAUACCAGACCACACGGCGAGCACGCACAGCAUUCUGGAGUGCUUUGCAAAUGACACUGCCCAAGGUACACAAGACAUGCCCUGAUAUGUGGAAUGGUGUUAUUUCCACUGCUCCUGCAAUAACUGAUGUGUUAAGUGUUACAGGAAUGCAAAACACCAGCGUGUGUAAUUCAAAUAUGAAACAAUGUUAUUCAAGCAAUUACAAUAAAUAAAAGUAUUAUUCUCCGAAAAAACCUCAAGUACUGAAAAAUAAAUAACUAAUUCAUGUUAGAAUGUGUGCACUAAUCAAACGAAACUAAUGAUUGUAUUUGGAAAAGUAACGUGAUGUUUUGAGACUAAAUUGUUGGGAAAUAUGUAAAUGCCGACACAGCUUUGUCUUAUUGAUGUAACAUGAAUAUUAGUUUUUUUAUAUUAAUAACAAGCAGUUAUGGUUACAAUUGAUGUCCCCAGCCAUGCGUAAUUUGGCAACUCUCACCACCAAGUACGUUUUCGGUUACUGCUUGCAUUUUAUUUUUCAUUGAUAUGCAUAUGCAGCAUUCAUAAUCAUUGGCCAUAAUCCACUGCUGGAUGACAGCCUUCCCAAGCCAUCGCCAUCUCCCUCGGUCCACCAAUGUAACAAUCCAUCUAGCACCUGUAAACGAGCUAAUAUAAUUGCACCACCUCCACACGGUGGUACUCUGAAAUGUAUUCCUACCUUGGCAUAUAAAUUAUAAAAUGUAUGGAAUUGAUAGUUGCUAUACAGUGGUGUAGAGGCAAUGUUGUUAACUGCAAUAUACAAUAAUCGUUUUACAGCCACAUUGCUAAUAUACAUUUUUUCUUGCCAUACAUUAAUGCAUUUAUUUGUAUUCAUGUCGUCCCAUUAUAUUCUAGAUAAAAAGAGUUGAUUUAGUAACUUAAAUAUCUCAAAGCCUUUUGUUAAUCCACUGUUGAUGGUACCGUUAUGGGGGGUUGGAGCACCUUACUUCACCAUGCUGGUCGGUGCGGAAGGAGGACUGUGGAAGUGGUUUACAUAUCAUUCACCACUGAUGUUACCCAUGGCCAUACAUUAAACUCAGGCUGCUGAGAUCAUAGUCCUGCGCACUAACCACCGCACUGCAUUGUGACAUGUACUGUACGCUCGAUUUUAUUGCCACAUUUUUUUUAAAUUGUAAAUGUUCUACGAGGUGCCAGUUUGACUUUCAAUUGAUUUUAUAUAUGUAGUCAAACUAAGGGUAUGUUGAUGAAAUGAUAACAUAUACAGCUUUACAACAACAAAAACAGACAUGGUAACAUUUAUUCUGCCAUGGAAGAGGUUAAAUGUGUCUGCCGUUAAUACAAUCCUGCAAGAUGCCUAUCAUUGCAAGAAUGUGACCUGAAGCUAAAAACCAAGCGAAGGUGUUGUGAUUCACAUUACUGGAAUUAAAAAUGUUAGAUAUUUGUAGCUAAAUAUGUUUUAAUUUUUAGCCUUUCUCAAUCCAGCAAUGGAUAAAAAGUUCCCACUCCCAUCUGAGUCAUGGUUUUUGUUUAACUUAACCAUGCAGGAAAUUGUUGGGAUAGUGAAUGGGUGGUGGGCACAACUGAUUUUGAUAUAUUUUCUCAAGGAUGUUAGUUACGGCUGUGAAUCGAAUUCGGGACAUCAGGUUCAUCGUGCAACACCGUUCCACCCCUAUAACUUAGUACCUUCGUGAUAAAGAGCAGAUCACUAGAAAUAUGGAAACUUUUAAUAGUAAUGGCUUUGGGGAAGAUGCCCAUAGUUCCAUCUCAAGAUUUAUUUCCCAUGAGUCAAUUUAAUUAAAAUAAUAAUCAUUAUGUUACUUGUAUCUAUUGAUUAAUGACAUAAUUAACAUGUCCAGUCUUUAAGGCAUGCACUUGUUCCUAAAUGAAAUGAUAUAUCACAGAACUGUCAAUAAUUGGUUUGUCAUGCCACCUCAUUAGUUUGUAAUGUAAAUAAUCAAACCAAUACUGAUAUAUGUUGGGACGUAUGUUUGGCAUGUUGUUUUGAUAAUUUUUCUGUACCAGUAACCAACUAAGACACCCAGCAGGACACAUUAUUCACAGAUUCCAUAUUGUAUGUGUAUUGUUUAAGGGAACUGAUAGGCUACUUAUUUGAGAUGCCCAGGGAAUGUCCAUCCACCCAUCUGAGGACAUUUCAGAUGCGAUCAAACGCACUACACAGCUUGGCAAUAGCAAUGCCCAGAUCUGUAAUAGUAUUUAAGAAAGAUUGGCUGCGUACCUCCACAAUCAUGCAUAUGCAUUAGAAUGUAACUGCAUAAAUGUAAACCUGCAGCAAUAACAUGCGGCAAUUUGUACGUGCAUAUACGUGAUUAUGUGCAUACAUUACUUUGUAGUGGAAUCCCCAAACAAAAUUGAGGCUCCCUUAAUGAGCCAAUUCUACAAAAAGCUUUGAUUUUCCAACUUAAAAAAAAUGUGUAAUUAUUACAAUAACUCAAAUGUUACCACAAUAAUCGUUGGUACUAGUAAUUAAAUUAAGAAUGAAAUAAAUCACUAAAUUAAUUAAAUUGUAUUAUAAAAGAAAAUAACAGUAUGUAGGGAAAAUGGCCUUUAAGAGCAUACAUGCUGUUUUUUAACGGGCUAUUUUCUGAAAUCUUAGCCUAUAUGUUUAAUUAUAAGGCAGCGUUAAGAUAGUUGUAAGGUGUUUUCAACAUGUGCAAUAAUUGUGAUGUUAAUGUAAUGGACACAUUGUGUGUAACUGAAUGGGCCAUUUCCGAAUGAAAAUACAGUAGAGAGAAUUUGUUAUUCAUAAUAAAGGUUUUUGGGUUAGAUCGCGUUAUUUGUAAAUGUGUCGUAACCCUCCACCACCCGACACGGCCAAUCAGCAAAAAUAAGUGUUAC